GAUGAACGCUGGCGGCGUGCCUAAUACAUGCAAGUCGAGCGAACAGACGAGGAGCUUGCUCCUCUGACGUUAGCGGCGGACGGGUGAGUAACACGUGGAUAACCUACCUAUAAGACUGGGAUAACUUCGGGAAACCGGAGCUAAUACCGGAUAACAUGUUGAACCGCAUGGUUCAACAGUGAAAGACGGUCUUGCUGUCACUUAUAGAUGGAUCCGCGCCGCAUUAGCUAGUUGGUAAGGUAACGGCUUACCAAGGCAACGAUGCGUAGCCGACCUGAGAGGGUGAUCGGCCACACUGGAACUGAGACACGGUCCAGACUCCUACGGGAGGCAGCAGUAGGGAAUCUUCCGCAAUGGGCAAAAGCCUGACGGAGCAACGCCGCGUGAGUGAAGAAGGUCUUCGGAUCGUAAAACUCCGUUAUUAGGGAAGAACAAAUGUGUAAGUAACUAUGCACGUCUUGACGGUACCUAAUCAGAAAGCCACGGCUAACUACGUG
rnacentral:rRNA from 1 species